AGGACCGUGGUUGGGAAUGCCUGGUUUAGACCCUCAAUUUUACCUUUUUUCAGCAUCUAGUAAAUGUAGGCCUAAGGAUGUUUUUUUAACGAGUUAGAGAGAGAAGGCCUAGGGAUAUACAGUCCAACAUGGGCAGAUGUGGAGACUGCGGAGAUAUGCAUGGAGGGUUCUCCAAGACCUGCAUUCGUAGCCUGGCUGACACCUCAGAGAUGCAUUGCUUUGGUGGAGACAUGCGUGAGGUUGGCCCGGCAAUCAAUGAACGAACAUUUACUAAUUUAUCAGUAUUUUCGCCACUACAAACACGCAUUGAGAUACAACAUACUACAUACUUCAUCAUCCUCAACUUCAGCUGGAGUAGAGACAGGGCAGAGGUGAUGGCAGUCUUUUUGGGCACUGUAAAUGGGGUUUCACACACUGCCUGCACAUCAUUCUGACCACCCACAAGCCUGGGGACUCCAUCUACUGCCCACUACAGCCUCCAGCUGAGAGCUGCGCCCUUCCUCCCCGUGGACAUUCCAGUCACCGCCGCUCCCACCCUGAGACAUGGGACCAGUAUACAGAUUGCCAGCUACGCUAGGACCAACGGGACGCAGUGGUGAGCACAAUUCUGGCGGUGGGGAGGUAGUAGCAUAGCGCACGCUCUGCGGGCUUACUGAACCUAACAGCAGACAUCCAUCAAUACCUUUACUACCAAAACCUGUGGAAUUACUGAUGGGAUACCCCUCUAAGCUUGGCAGUUAAAAACUGGAGCUACAGACAUUAUCUGCAUUAGAUGUGGACUGCAUAUAUGUUUCUUGUGGUAAGGACGUUUACAGCGCGGUCGUGAAAAUCAGUGUGGAAAAUUGUUUUUAUCUAAUUGUUGAUAUAUUAUUCGUAUUUUAUACCAUUUAAUCAAUAAAUUGUGGCAAAUGUAUUUCUA